rnacentral:rRNA from 1 species
AUUGAACGCUGGCGGCAGGCCUAACACAUGCAAGUCGAGCGGAUGAGGGGUGCUUGCACCCCGAUUCAACGGCGGACGGGUGAGUAAUGCCUAGGAAUCUGCCCGAUAGUGGGGGACAACGUUUCGAAAGGAACGCUACUACCGCAUACGUCCUACGGGAGAAAGUGGAGUCUCUUCGGACCCCACGCAAUCGGAUGAGCCUAGGUCGGAUUAGCUAGUUGGUGGGGUAAAGGGUCACCAAGGCGACGAUCCGUAACUGGUCUGAGAGGAUGAACAGUCACACUGGAACUGAGACACGGUCCAGACUCCUACGGGAGGCAGCAGUGGGGAAUAUUGGACAAUGGGCGAAAGCCUGAUCCAGCCAUGCCGCGUGUGUGAAGAAGGUCUUCGGAUUGUAAAGCACUUUAAGUCGGGAGGAAGGGCUGUAGGUUAAUACCUUGCAGCCUUGACGUUACCGACAGAAUAAGCACCGGCUAACUUCGUGCCAGCCGCCGCCGUAA